rnacentral:lncRNA from 1 species
AAAAUGAUUUGGUGUUGGGCCAGUUCCUUAUGCAUUCUGCAUUCAUGUGUAUAGGAUUCAAAGACGUUCCAAAUAUUGAUCAUAAACCAAGUGUAUAUGAAUUAAUUAAAUAGCAUAUUUCUGGCCCAAAUAUGAGGAAAACCAUAACUUUUUACUGUAAAUCAGGAGAGAUUGUUUUAUCCCCAAAUAAACUAGGAUGUUUCAAGUCAUGUUUCAGCAAUUUGGAGACCUACAAACUAUCUGCAAGCAAGCACAACAACCAUACUCUAAUCUACUAGAUAGUAGUGAGAAUUUAGUGCUUGAAUUCAGGCUGCUUGAAUUCAGUAUAUCCUUCUCUAUGCUGAUUUUCAAGUAGAUAUUCUGUAGCUCAGCUAGAUAAUCUUUUAAAAGCAAAAAAAAAAUUAAGUUUAAAGUGUAGUUGCUAAGAGCUGCUCUUCACAGGUGACAUCGCUAGGAGUCUUUGAAGAUAUGUAAUUGUAACGUAUUGUGGGGUAUAUAUAAUACAUACAAUAAACCAUUUUAUAAACCUUGGCAAUCUUAUAAAUAAGGGGGCACUCGAUGUUAAAUCUUAGUAUAUUUAAUUUCUUCUGUGUGCCUGUGAGGUUGAUAGAGAGUUAAAAUAUUUAAUUGACUACAUUGCUAAUGAACAGACUACCCAUAAUCCUGAUCUUGGCUCAUUUCACUCAUUGGAGUUCCCAUGAUGAAUACCAAGCGUGGAGACCGGCCUUGUAGUAAGUUGGCAUGACUAGUGUUGCCCUAAGAAUGUGGUAUUUAUUACAGCAUCUUAUUCAGAUUCUAGUGGGAGAAGCGUUCAGAUAUGCAGUGUGUUAACUCAUUGUAGAUAUUGUUUCUAAAAACACAUUUUAUUGUUAGGUAUGGGAAUAGAGUCAUAAUAACUUUCAAAUUCAGAAAAUAUGUGAAUAAAUAACACCCUCCCAACACAUAGAUAUAUAUAUGUAGCUAGCACACCUAGAUACAUGUGAAGAAAAGAGAUUCUAUAAGACCAUUUUUGAUUUCUUGGGCUUUGGCUUACACAGUUGACUAUAUCUGAUCACGUGCUUAUUUUAUGUAAUACAAGCCAAAUCAUUAAUUACUCUGCUGCUAGUUCUUGGAAAGCAAGGCCACGGUGCUCUUUAAUCUUCCAAGCUGCAAAGCUCAUUAGGAUUUUUACAUGAUGUCAGAAGUGGCAUGCGCUUCACUGAGUUGUUUAUGCUGUGACCAUAUGGUUUAGGAAUGAACAAAAACUCUAUGAACAUGCCUUUAGGAUUGGAUUGUAGUGUCCGUGUGUAUUUUAUUUCUGACUUCUCGUUCAUAAUUUGAAGAGAAAUAUAGACGAACUCUUUCCACAUCUUAGUCUUUUCUCAAUAGCCAGUUACAGAAUGCUUACCAUAAAAGUAAACAAAUUAAUAUAAGGACAAAUUGGCAUCUCUGUUACUAAGCUGUAAGCCAUAUCUUAAUUGGUGUGAUAUGUUUAAACUCUUCAUUGGAGAUGUUUCCUAUCAUUAAAACACAAACCAAACAAACAAACAAAAAAAACUUGUCAGUCUCUUCUUUACAGAGUUUAGAUUUUAGGGCUCUGUAUGUGAUUAAAUAACCAGGUUCUUAUUUAUGUGUUAAAUGAAUAAAUUAGUGAAUUACUGAGAAAAAUUUUAUUCCAAAAAAAUUAAUAAAUCCAAAAGUAUUUUAGCCACUGGGGAAAAUAGACACAUUAUGGAAUUGAGAGCAUUGUGAGGCACAGGUGAUGUGUGCAAUGUACAUUUAGAAUUACUAAUUCUCCUUUAGCAUGUAACUUAAAGAAAAGCAACAUUACUAAAAAAUAAUUAGUAAUUUGAACAAUAAUCCAUAAUGUUUACCCACAGAGAACAUGCUUCUUAUGUAGAUUACCAUGAAUAUUUUGUUGAGAGGGAUUUGAAUGUUAGAUAUUAGAUGUGCUAGACAGAUUAUCUAUUAUAAAGGAUGAGAAAGAAAAGGAUUCUUUGAAGUGAUUUUAAAGUCACACUUUAAAAACUCCUAAGACAAUGAAUGAAGCUAAUUAAUUAAUGAAAUGACCUUCUGCUUCUCGAUAGAAGGAUAUGAGUGGGUGGGGCCAGGGAGGUGUGGUAGCUUCCCUCCCUCCCCAUCCAGGUGUUGGAUCUACAUGUUCAGGAGACAAGACUUUUAUUUUAAUUUUAUAAGCAAGUCUAGUGCAUUAUUGUCCAGUGUGAAAUUUAUGUUAAAACAGUAGACAAAGGCUCAGCAUUUUUGCUACAGCAGAGUUGUGUACAACAUUGAAACUAUUGCUGCAAUGUUUACCUGUGCAGCAUGCUAACCCCCACACACACUCUAUAUGCAAAGCAUUUUUAAAAAAGAAGCCCCACUGUUUAGAUCGUGCAGUUCGAACUUACAGAACAAAUAUGCUGCCCUAUCGCCACGGUACACAGAUAGAAAACAUGACUGAGCUGUAAAGCCAUU